ensembl:lncRNA
CGCGGAGCUCGGCGAAGUUCCUCCAACUCGGCCGGUGGCGGGCCGGUCGCCCAGCAGGGGGACCCCGGGGAGGACCGGCCGCGGAUUGGAGCGAAGUUGGAAGCCCUCUCCGCCUCCCGGCAGUGGGGUGAUGGUGGGAGGGAAUGGUAUGCGAGAAGCUCCACGCCCUUAAAAAGCUCCGCGGAUUCCCAGCCCAUCUCCUGUCACCUGGCCGCCGGGCGUGAGGGCUUCCCAGCACCGAGAUUUUACAGGGAACACCAACGUAGAGGCCGAGGCUAAAUGAAGGCCAAGUGUACUAAGAGGAACUAACCUUUGAGAAGUUAAUCUGGAUGUCAACUGUACUGAUGUUCCAGACAGAUGUGGCCCCCUUAAAUUCACAUGCUGAAGCCUAACGCCCAAUGAGACUGUAUUUGGAGACACAGUCUAUCAGGAGGUAUUGAAACUGCCAUCCUAGUUACUGAGCUGGAAAUCUGGGUAUCAUCCAACAUCACAGUCUCCACAUACAGUCUUGGAGUCCAUUUCAUCCCCACUUACACCUUUCUACUGAGUCUCUCCCCUAAUCCCUUUAUCUCUGCUGCUAUGAUCCUUAGUUCACUGGGAGAUCUCUCACCCAGAAUCCUGCAAGAGGCACCUACCUGAUUUCCAGGCCUCAAGUUCAAACCUCUUCGAUCCAUUUGUCCUAUUCUCUUCCGUUCCAGUCACUGCAAAUCCAACAAAGUAAUGAUGCUUGCCCCUCUUUUUGGAAAAAUUUCCCCAGCAGCUCUUGACAGUCUGCAGUCCCAACUCUUUAACAUCCAAAUUUUGGCUCUUACCUAUGUCACCAUCUCCUGCAACUGUCCAUUCAGCCAUCUGAAUUGAGACCUCCCUUUCUAGGAAGAAGUAUAGUCACUUAACACUUCUAACUUUAUCUUCAGAUAAUAUGUCUAAAACUGAUUAUUUUUGUACAAUUAUGUGUGCAAUAUGUCUCCUCCAUUAGACUAUUGCUGAAUCAUAUAUAUCUUGUAUAUGUAACAUUUAGAACGUUUUCAGGUUCUAUUUGUUGACUUAGAAAAUAAAGGCAGAACUAGCUCG